rnacentral:lncRNA from 1 species
UGAAGCGGCUGGUUCUCAAAAUGAAAUUCGGAAGGAACGCGAAGCACAUGAUAUGAGCGGCAAUGAUGUAACUGGCCAAAACAUAAACGUUGAAGCUAACCAAAUCAGANAAACUCAAACUGGAACCCAGCAAUNCAAGUANGUCAUCUUCCCGUAUAAAAUCUCAUAAAAUAAGCUUGAUUCUUACAUAAAGACUUGGUUCGACACUUUGGUUUAAAGCAAGUUAAUUAUCUGUAUUUUUUUUUCGUUUGUGAGUCCGUUGGUUUCUUGAUUGGCUAACUGUUGUUUUAUUGGUUGGUUGGUUUGGAGGUUGGUUGGAUGGGUGGUUGGUUGGUUGGUUGGNUGGUUGGUUGGUUGGGUGGGUGGUUGAUUAUAGUUGGUUAGUUAGUUGAUUGUUUUUCAAUUGGUUUAUUGUUUGGUUUAUUAGUGGUUGGUAGGUUAUUUGGAAUGUCGGUAUGUUCCGUUAAUGUUUUCAACACAGGNUUCGCGCACAAACUGGAGAAAAGCAACGUCAUCAAUGCAAAGACUGGUUGGGUGGAUCGGAUCUCAUCAGUCGCAAGCGAACUAAGAGAGUACGCACAAAAGAGAAGCCUUACGACCGAGCACCCGUCUGGUACAAAAGAUUAUCACUGUCUGGGAACUUUUUUAAGCAUAAACUAGUUCAAUCCACACUUAUUGAAACUGAGAUAUCGCGUAAAAACUACGGGUUNGGGGUUUCGGACGAGCCCUCCACAGCUUAAAAGGUCCGCAUGCCGGAUUAUGAAAAGAACAAACUCCCCUAUUUGUAAGGCGGCCUACGGCAGAGUUGCAACCCACCAGAGUCAAGCAUCCAAGAGAUAGAGGCGUUCUUGGCCGCUGUUAAACGAGAACUUUUUAAUCCUAACAAUGUUAAGGUCGCCAAAGAUAAUCUGAAUCAGGCAGAAAGAUCUGCAUUGAAAGAACUAAACUUUUUCCGGUGUAUAAAAUUUUUUUUUGUACACAACUGUAUAGCGUUUUAUUUUGCUAUUAAGUUAUCAUUGUGAUUAUUAAUUUAUCUAUAAGAAUAUAACUGAUUUNUAAAUCAUUAUUCAUUAAUCAGCAACGUUUUAUUGUGGUCAUAUAAUAUCAUGAUAAUUUGUAAAUAAAUGAUAUUUAUUUGUCGCUUAUGAAAAAGAGCUUUCUCAAAGACCAGAGUUGACUACGCUGGUCUCAUACUGUUAGAAAUUGGGCGACGACGUGGAAGCAAGAAUGAAAUUACGUCAGUAAGCUUUUUCACCUACUUUUUCCGGUGUAUAGUUUUUUUGACGUCAUAUGACGUCACAGUGACAGUUUGAUAUGUAAGGAUCCCACCAAUGAAAAUCCUGGAUCCGCCCCUGUUGCGCCACGACCAAUGUGCAUGCUGGGUGAAUAGGAGUCAUUGCUGUUAUUCUAUGUCUUCUCAUUUAGUAUCCAUGCAAUCCCAAUGUCUUUCACCACUGCAAAUGAUCAAGAAGGCGCUUUGUUUCACAGAAAUUGUCUAGCUAACCUACACCUUAAAAAGUGUCAUAAACCAAAACGACAACUAUUUUUAAAAAAACGUGAAAACUUUAAUUUUAAAAAGAGUAAAAAAUGCAUGUAUUUGAUGGGUAAUUAAAGCCAAU